UGGGGAAUAUUGCACAAUGGGGGAAACCCUGAUGCAGCGACGCAGCGUGAAGGAAGAAGUAUCUCGGUAUGUAAACUUCUAUCAGCAGGGAAGAUAGUGACGGUACCUGACUAAGAAGCCCCGGCUAACUACGUGCC
rnacentral:rRNA from 1 species